ACUCCAGCCUGCUGGCAGGAAGAUGGGUGCUGUGGUGGAUCACGCCCGAUGCCAUCCCAGCGUUAGAGAGAAACCAAUAUAGGCUGCUGCCACACUCAAACAGGCAGGAUUGGGCUGUGGAUUUAUGCGCACAUGGCAGAGAGACCUGAGGGUUGCGGCAAGGCUGCCCAUCACAACAGCUCCCCCAAAGAGAUGCUGACAGAGUGGGCAUGUAUGGAGCACGUGGCCGCAGACAGGCAGCAGAGGACCGACCUGCACUGGCGCCAGGAGAAUGCCACAACACUUUAUCAGCAUGAAUGCAUUCGAUGCCAUCACUGUCAAGUCACAAGGGAGCACAGAAGGAACAGUAUGAAAAGGAUCUUUUCUGGUUCCCUCGUUCUCAGACAUGAUUGAAGGAAGCAGGGACAGGGGGCAUCCAGAUGAUCGCUUUGGAGGCAGGACUGACCUUGCGUCGACCCCCAGCGCUCCGCCAACUGCACACUGGCUGGAC